GAAUAUUGGACAAUGGGGGGAACCCUGAUCCAGCCAUGCCGCGUGUGUGAAGAAGGUNNNUGGAUNGUAAAGUACUUUAAGUUNGGCNGAUGAGUUGUAGGCUACUACUUUUCAAUUUUGACGUUACCAACAGAAUAAGCACCGGCUAACUUCGUGCCAGCAGCCGCGGUAAUAUGAAGGGUGCAAGCGUAAAUCUGAAUUACUGGGCGUAAAGCGCGCGUAGGUGGUUCGUUAAGUUGGAAGUGAAAGCCCCGGGCUUAACCUGGGAAUUGCUUUCAAAACUGACGAGCUAGAGUACGGUAGAGGGUAGUGGAAUUUCCUGUGUAGCGGUGAAAUGCGUAGAUAUAGGAAGGAACAUCAGUGGCGAAGGCGACUACCUGGACUGAUACUGACACUGAGGUGCGAAAGCGUGGGGAGCAAACA
rnacentral:rRNA from 1 species